rnacentral:rRNA from 1 species
GACGAACGCUGGCGGCGUGCUUAACACAUGCAAGUCGAACGGAAAGGCCCUGCUUUUGUGGGGUGCUCGAGUGGCGAACGGGUGAGUAACACGUGAGUAACCUGCCCUUGACUUUGGGAUAACUUCAGGAAACUGGGGCUAAUACCGGAUAGGAGCUCCUGCUGCAUGGUGGGGGGUGGAAAGUUUCGGCGGUUGGGGAUGGACUCGGGGCUUAUCAGCUUGUUGGUGGGGUAGUGGCUUACCAAGGCUUUGACGGGUAGCCGGCCUGAGAGGGUGACCGGCCACAUUGGGACUGAGAUACGGCCCAGACUCCUACGGGAGGCAGCAGUGGGGAAUAUUGCACAAUGGGCGGAAGCCUGAUGCAGCAACGCCGCGUGCGGGAUGACGGCCUUCGGGUUGUAAACCGCUUUCGCCUGUGACGAAGCGUGAGUGACGGUAAUGGGUAAAGAAGCACCGGCUAACUACGUG